rnacentral:rRNA from 1 species
CCGUAACUAUAACGGUCCUAAGGUAGCGAAAUUCCUUGUCGGGUAAGUUCCGACCCGCACGAAAGGCGUAAUGAUUUGGGCACUGUCUCGACAAUGCACCCGGUGAAAUUGAAAUACCAGUGAAGAUGCUGGUUACCUGCGCCAGGACGGAAAGACCCCAUGGAGCUUUACUCCAGCUUGAUACUGGGAUUCGGUAUUGCAUGUACAGGAUAGGUGGGAGGCUAGGAAAUGGUAACGCCAGUUGCCAUGGAGCCAAUGUUGGGAUACCACCCUUGCAGUACUGGGUUUCUAACCAGUUGCCAUGAACUGGCAAUGGGACAAUGUCAGGCGGGGAGUUUGACUGGGGCGGUCGCCUCCGAAAGGGUAUCGGAGGCGCUCAAAGGUUCCCUCAGAAUGGUUGGAAACCAUUCGAAGAGUGCAAAGGCAGAAGGGAGCUUGACUGCGACACCGACGGGUGGAGCAGGUACGAAAGUAGGACUUAGUGAUCCGGUGGUAUGAAAGUGGGAUUGCCAUCGCUCAACGGAUAAAAGCUACCCUGGGGAUAACAGGCUUAUCACUCCCAAGAGUUCACAUCGACGGAGUGGUUUGGCACCUCGAUGUCGGCUCAUCGCAUCCUGGGGCUGUAGUAGGUCCCAAGGGUUGGGCUGUUCGCCCAUUAAAGCGGUACGCGAGCUGGGUUCAGAACGUCGUGAGACAGUUCGGUCCCUAUCUGUCGUGGGCGAAGGAUAUUUGAAAGGAGCUGUCCCUAGUACGAGAGGACCGGGAUGGACGCACCUCUGGUGCACCAGUUGUCACGCCAGUGGCACAGCUGGGCAGCUAAGUGCGGAUCGGAUAAACGCUGAAAGCAUCUAAGCGUGAAGCCGUCCUUAAGAUAAGAUAUCCCACUUUUAAGUUAAGACCCCUUGUAGACUACGAGGUUGAUAGGUCUAAGGUGUAAGUUGUGUGAGCAAUUUAGCCAGCAGAUACUAAUCGGUCGAGGGCUUAAACCU